UACGUAGGGGGCAAGCGUUGUCCGGAAUCAUUGGGCGUAAAGCGCGUGUAGGCGGCUCGAUAAGUCCGCUGUGAAAGUCCAGGGCUCAACCCUGGGAUGCCGGUGGAUACUGUCGAGCUCGAGUCCGGAAGAGGCGAGUGGAAUUCCUGGUGUAGCGGUGAAAUGCGCAGAUAUCAGGAGGAACACCAAUUGCGAAGGCAGCUCGCUGGGACGUUACUGACGCUGAGACGCGAAAGCGUGGGGAGCAAACAGG
rnacentral:rRNA from 1 species